rnacentral:rRNA from 1 species
AGCAUCCCACUGGGGAGUACGCGGCAAACGGUGAAACUCAAAGGAAUUGACGGGGGCCCGCACAAGCGGAGGAACAUGUGGUUUAAUUCGAUGAUACGCGAGGAACCUUUACCCGGGCUUGAACUGCAGCGGAAGGAUACAGAGAUGUUGACGCCCUUCGGGGCCGCUGUGGAGGUGCUGCAUGGUUGUCGUCAGCUCGUGCCGUGAGGUGUCGGCUUAAGUGCCAUAACGAGCGCAACCCUUUUCAUUAGUUGCCAUCAGGUGAUGCUGGGCACUCUGGUGAUACUGCCACCGUAAGGUGUGAGGAAGGUGGGGAUGACGUCAAAUCAGCACGGCCCUUACGUCCGGGGCUACACACGUGUUACAGUGGGAGGUACAGAGAGUCGGUCGAUUGCAAAAACGAUCUAAUCCUUAAAGCCUUCCUCAGUUCGGAUUGGGGUCUGCAACCCGACCCCAUGAAGCUGGAUUCGCUAGUAAUCGCGCAUCAGCCAUGGCGCGGUGAAUACGUUCCCGGGCCUUGUACACACCGCCCGUCAAGCCAUGAAAGCCGGGGGCGCUUGAAGUCCGUGACCGCAAGGAUCGGCCUAGAGCGAAACUGGUAAUUGGGGCUAAGUCGUAACAAGGUAGCCG